CUGCAAGUGAUUGGAAACAACAGCAACUCAGCCAUGAAGUGGUAGGAAAUGUAAAAUCAUCAUAUCAGGAAAAUUCAGACAAUGGGAACAGUUUGGGGAUGGCCUCUUCCUGUUCCAAUAUAACUGCACACCGGUGCACAAAGCAAGGUUCAAAAAGACAUGGAUGAGUGGGUUUGCUGUGGAAGUAGAAAAUGGAAUUAGACUUCUCAUCCAAGAUCAGAGUCUGACUUCACAAACUCCCAUAAACACUCCUAAACCUUGUGAAAAGUUUCCCCGGAGGAGUUAAAGCUGUUCUGCAAACAGUGGGCUGACAUCACAACAAACCUUGAGGAUUAAGAAUGGGAUUUCACUCAAAUUGAUGUGCGUAUGUGAAGGCAGAAGAGUGAAUACUUUUGGCCAUAUAGUGUAUUUUUGCAGAUAAUUUCCACAGGAGAGUCCAUCGGAGAGAGAGUGAGCUUUUACUUGGACAUGGUGAGGAGGCAUCUUUGAGGAGGGCCACUGGGAGGGUGGGCAUGCCAGUGGAAGCUGCAGGGGAGUAUUCUGAUGAUUGAUUCUAAAGGAAAGUGAGUCUGAGGACAGAUGAUGAUGAUGAUGAUGAUGAUGAUGAGGCAGCUGAGCAGCAGGAGCAGGAACAUUAGAAGCUGCUGGAGUAACUGCUGCUGUUCUCCUGCCUGUCAUAUUCUUCUCUGUCUUCCUGUGGAUUCAAAAAAAGAGGAUGUCCAAGGAACCUGUUAAAUCUGAAGACAGAGCCAACAACAGAGAACAGUGUUUACCUGAUCAGAGACAGCCAGAGGAGCAGGAUGAUCUUCAGUAUACCAGCAUCCACUUCUCCAAUAACCAGGCAGAUCCUCUCUACUCCAACAUCAGAGCAGCUCAGCCUCACAGACACAUGCAGGAACAGGAAGUUACUGAGUACACUGCUGUUAGAUUUAACAGAGGCAGUGCAGCCAAGAGAGAUAGAAGUCAGGAAACAGGAGAGUCUCCAUGUGCACUGUACUCCACAGUCAACAAAACCAGAUGAAGAGACGGGUUGAUGAUGAUGAUGUGAUAUUUAUGUAGAUUUUAAAAAAGAUUCGGCUCAAUUGUAGCUAAAUUUAUAAGUUUAUAAAAUAGGUGAAAAUUUCUUAUACGGUUAUGUUUACUAGAAAAAUGUUACUGUUGUGUAAAGUAUUUUCCUCUUUUUUUAGAUUUUUAUUGUUGUUAAAUGUAACACUUUACUAGACUAGACCAAGAUCUGAGUGUAUACAAAAUGCAGAAGAAUAAUUUUUAAGGGACAAGCAGCUAUCCAGACCUACCUGGAUGCAGGAAUCCAAUAAAGUCUUUUCACAACAGACAUGUCAAAGUGGAUCAG
ensembl:lncRNA